rnacentral:rRNA from 1 species
UCCGGAGGGUGCAAUCGUUGUUCGGAAUUACUGGGCGUAAAGAGCGUGUAGGCGGCUGACCAAGUCCGGUGUGAAAGCCCGGGGCUUACCCCCGGAAGUGCGCUGGAAACUGGUCGACUAGAGUAUGGGAGAGGGAAGUGGAAUUCCUGGUGUAGCGAUGAAAUGCGUAGAUAUCAGGAGGAACACCGGCGGCGAAGGCGGCUUCCUGGACCAAUACUGACGCUGAGACGCGAAGGCGUGGGGAGAAAACAGG